GGAGUUCCUUCGCCGCGGUACUGUGGUGGUCGCUGAAAAGGAGCAUGGAGGUUGGAAGCAAAACUAUUUGCCAAAAUGCAGAGGCUAGAGGUUCAGAGUUAUUUUUCUAAAGGUACUUUUACUCAAACCUGGGAAUGUUUUGCGUUGAUUUCUUUGAUGCUAUUCUGGCACCUGGAACUCGAGCAAUAAUGGCGGUUGGAGCAUACGCAUGAAGAACCAAAUGCAGGUAUGGUUUAUGCAAAAUAGAGGUCCUAAAUCGGUGACUUCAAAGUUCAAACUACUCAAAAUUUUAAAUUGAACAUAUAAUUUACUUUGUUGAGCAGGUAUCAAGAUUUCAGUAGCAUCAUAGGUUUAUCUUUUAUAUGUUAUAGAUUAUCCACUUUUGAUUUGUUCUAAAGACUUAAGAGUAUUUAGUUUCAGUAUCUUCAUGCUCCCUAAACAGUCAGCUUAAUCACACAUUAGUCAUGCCUUGUGUAAAUAAUGUGUCUGGUUAAUUCUGUUUUCACUUUUGUUUUCUUGCUUCCCCUGUAGACAAA